AAGGGAGCAGAUGGGUACAUGUUACAGUAAAGCACAAAGGGCCUGGGAAGUCCACCCAGAAGGGAAAGGUACCAAAGAUCACAAUGAUCUGUUGACUCAUUAUCAGUGAUGUGUGGAGCAGAGCCAAUCUUGUGUUCAUUGAAAAAGUGGAUUUCCUAGGAAGUACCUGGGGAAUGCAAAUGCCCCACUUCAAAUCCACCCUCUGGAAGCUAUGCCGUGGGGAGGAAUACCCAUUGUCUACUAAUUACCUACUCCUGAAAACUGCAGCUCAAAGACCUGUAUUUAGUGUGGAUUAAACAUGUUAGGAGUGUUUGUUCUGAGUUGAAGCUGUGAUGAACUUGCAACCACAAGGAACCCCCUUGGGCUGGGGUUUGAAGAACUGCUCCAGCCA